rnacentral:rRNA from 1 species
UACGGAGGGUGCGAGCGUUGUCCGGAAUCACUGGGCGUAAAGGGCGCGUAGGCGGCGCGGGAAGUCAUCGGUGAAAGUUCAGGGCUCAACUCUGAAUCGGCCGGUGAUACUCUCGUGCUUGAGCACUGUAGAGGCAGGUGGAAUUCCGGGUGUAGCGGUGGAAUGCGUAGAGAUCCGGAAGAACACCGGUGGCGAAGGCGGCCUGCUGGGCAGUAGCUGACGAUGAUGCGCGACAGCGUGGGGAGCAAACAGG